rnacentral:ncRNA from 2 species
CACAGAACGAGGCGGCAAGGUGUCCAUCAGGUGCCAAGCACCGGACUCAAUCGGGAACGGGGAAGGGCGAACCCAGUCAGGCGCCCGAAGCCCCGGCCGCCCCCGCGACUGUGAGCGGAGAGCGCCCCCAUCCGCCACUGGUGCCCCAAAAGCACCGGGAAGGCCGGGACGCGCCACGACCCGCAAGCCAGGAGACCGGCCUUGCAUGAACCGAAACC